rnacentral:rRNA from 1 species
UACGAAGGGGGCUAGCGUUGCUCGGAAUCACUGGGCGUAAAGGGCGCGUGGGCGGGUCUUUAAGUCAGGGGUGAAAUCCUGGAGCUCAACUCCAGAACUGCCUUUGAUACUGAGGAUCUUGAGUCCCGGAGAGGUGAGUGGAACUGCGAGUGUAGAGGUGAAAUUCGUAGAUAUUCGCAAGAACACCAGUGGCGAAGGCGGCUCACUGGCCCGGUACUGACGCUGAGGCACGAAAGCGUGGGGAGCAAACAGG